rnacentral:rRNA from 1 species
AACGAACGCUGGCGGCAUGCCUAACACAUGCAAGUCGAACGAGAUCUUCGGGUCUAGUGGCGCACGGGUGCGUAACGCGUGGGAAUCUGCCCUUUGAUUCGGAAUAACAGUUGGAAGCGACUGCUAAUACCGGAUGAUGACGAAAGUCCAAAGAUUUAUCGCCAGAGGAUGAGCCCGCGUAGGAUUAGCUAGUUGGUGUGGUAAAGGCGCACCAAGGCGACGAUCCUUAGCUGGUCUGAGAGGAUGAUCAGCCACACUGGGACUGAGACACGGCCCAGACUCCUAGGGGAGGCAGCAGUGGGGAAUAUUGGACAAUGGGCGAAAGCCUGAUCCAGCAAUGCCGCGUGAGUGAUGAAGGCCUUAGGGUUGUAAAGCUCUUUUACCCGGGAUGAUAAUGACAGUACCGGGAGAAUAAGCUCCGGCUAACUCCGUGCCAGCCGCCGCCGUAA